GAGGAUAUUUAGCAAUGCCCGAAAGGGUGACUAUGCGACGCCGCGUGUGCGAUGAAGGUCUUCGGAUCGUAAAGCACUGUCAGCUGGGAGGAAUCUCUGGAGGCUUAAUAAGCUUGCAGGGUGACAGUACCAGCAGAGGAAGCAACGGCUAACUCCGUGCCAGCAGCCGCGGUAAUACGGAGGUGGCAGGCGUUACUCGGAUUCACUGGGCGUAAAGGGUGCGCAGGUGGCUAUGUGUGUGAAGUGUGAAAGCCCGGGGCUUAACUCCGGAAUUGCACCUCAAACUAUAUGGCUGGAGCAUUGGAGAGGGUAGCAGAAUUCACGGUGUAGCAGUGAAAUGUGUAGAUAUCGUGAGGAAUACCAGAGGCGAAGGCGGCUACCUGGACAAUUGCUGACACUCAAGCACGAAAGCGUGGGGAGCAAAAG
rnacentral:rRNA from 1 species